CCGCUGCGAAGGAGGAGGAGGGAGAGGAGGAAGGGAGGAAACCUCCCUGGUACCCUUGGUCUCGCUGCCGCGGCGGCCGCUCCUCGCCCGGGCUGAGCGUGUCUGGCGGGGGGUCUGGUAGCAUUUCCUUAAGGACAGAGAGAGGGCAGGCGCGGAGGGAGGGGAGAGAUCCCGACCGCCAGCCCCGGGCUCCUCUCGCCUUUAUUUAUUUUUCUGACACUGUACGGAGAUGGCCCCCGGGUAGGGGCAGCGGGAGCCGCGGGGCCCGGACCGCAGCUGUCUGCGUGCGGGAGCCGCAGCGGCCGCCUCCCUCCUCCCGGGUUGUGGACGCACCGGGUUAUUCCUGGGAGCGCUUCCCCGAACAGAAGUUACUAGGAGUGCGCGGCGAGGGCGGGCGGGGGAGGGCGGGAGGAAGAGGGAGAGACUCAGCCAGCGACGUCAUCGGAUCCCCCAGCGAGUCCCGGGGAGGGAGGCCGAACCAGAAAAACCAGUCUGGAGCGGCCUCCUUGAACUGAGCAGCCUCAAGGGAACCGGCCCCAGUGUCUCGUCUACAAAUUGAAAGUUGGGCAAGAUCCUGUAUUAGAGUUACCAAGACUACGUCCUUCAGAUGUUCAUCAAGACUAAACUCAGUUACCUCUCAGUAAGAAAUAUAUUAAGAUUUUCCAGGAAAGAUGCCCUUGUCUGCUAACAUUUUUUUCUUUUCCUAUCAGAGUCUUAAGAAAUUAAUCAAUUCAGGAGGGUAUGGUGCCCCACACCUGUAACCCCAGCUCCCUGAAAGGCUGAGGCAGGAGGGUGGCAAGCUCUAGGCCCGUCUGUGCAGUUUAGCAACUUGGUGAGAUGGUGC
rnacentral:lncRNA from 1 species